AUGAUAGAACCUGUUUCAAAGGAGGUGGAUGUCAUUCCUGAGGGAGGCAACCCAGGGGUUGUCCUUUGGCAUUCACAUUCGAAUACAGACACAUGUAAACUCCCCCACAAACACAUACAUGCAUUAAUAAAGUACAGACAUUAAAAAGUCCAAAUAACAACAAAAACAAAACAAUUAAGAAAAACAAAAGCCCAAGCACCGUGGCUACCAUCAUUCUAAACGCUGCUCCUUUAUCUUCUCUGCCCAAGAUUACUCAUUUACUCCACAGAUACACAGCCAUCCUUCUGUAUCCUUGGGGAACCGGUUCCAGAACCUCUGAGGAUACCAAGAUCUGUGAUGUUCAAGUCCCCCAUAUUUUGAUGUGGCUUUUUUUCUGCACACUUUAAGACAUCCUUAGGUUAUUUAUAAUAUCUAUUGCAUUCUAAAUGCCUUAUGAUUAGUUAUAUUGCAUUAUUUUGAGAAUAAUGGCAAGAAAAGAGGUAUAAACAUGUUUAUUUUCCUUUUUCUUUUCUUUUUUUUAAGAGAUACAGUCUCCUAUAACCCAGGCUGGCGUUGAACUAAUUGUGUGCCAUGGAUGUCCUUGGACUUUAAAUCAUCCUGUUUCUACCUUCUAAAAGCUAGGAUUACAGCCAUGUACUGCUAAGUCUAGUUUGUAGUAUUGAGGACUGACCCCAGAGACUCACAAAUUCUAGCCAAGCACUACACCAACUGAGCUAUACCCCACCUCUUUUUUUUCACCAUUUUUAUUUGCAGUUUGUCAAGCAAAUAGAUGUAGAACCUAUGGAUUCAGAGGGCUGAUUGAAUAGGCACAGUGCCUACUAUGUCUCAGGUGUGUGCAAGACUGUAAGACAGGGUGAUGUCCUUAUUACAGAACGCCUUGGCAUACACAGAGAGGGCUUGAGGGUGGUCAGAUCUUGGUGGCAAAAUUUGCCUUGUGUGUUUUCUUGGACAAUAAAAAUUUCUUUGUGCAAUGACUAAAGUAAUGCAAAGCUGAGCCACAAACUAUGUUAGGGAUUGAUUCUUCUUUGGCUGAGAUCAUUUUGUCUCCACUCAACGGGACACUUUGACUGACACAAUGCCCUUGGAAGAGGAUGCCUGUUCCUUUCAUUUAGUGCAGGCUAACCUGGGACAGACGCCUUGAAGAACAAAAGAAAGGAGCAGUGCUAACAGAGAUGUUGUGGUCCUGGGGAAGGAUAUAGGAUAAAGAAUUGUUUCGGUGUGGCUUGAGUACAAGCUCAGCGUCCAGCCUUUCAACUUAGCAACAGGAAAACCUUAGACAUGUGGUGCCCUCUAUUACAGCAUUUUUGCAAAAUUUCCAAAGAAGCAUUGGCCCUAUCCAGGGAUGUGUUUUGUGGGGAGCACCAGUGUUGCUGGAUUAUAGCACACAUUAAUUCAAAGUGACCUCAUCUUAAUGUAUUAUAUCAGCAAAGACCUUAUUACCAGGUGCCAUCUUCAGAAAAGGCUUAUUUUUUAACCCCAAAGGGACACAUUUAGGAAGGCAGCCUCUCUUCUGCACUGAGAACUAUGGAGAACACAGCUGAAUCCUCCACCCUGGGGCAGCCAGCCACAUCCUGGAUCUGGGACCAAGACUGUGAUUCAAACAACUAUACAUUGUCCACAUUGCCUUUGCCCCAGUUUCACUUUGUAAUUUCUGCGAAUUCAAGAUGGAGAGUCCAAUUUAAGAAAAUGCAUGGUCCCAAGGCUCCCACACGUGCAGCAGGACUCAUCUCGACCUUUUUGUGAUUCUGAAGAUGUGGAGUCCACAUGGAAGCAUCACAUGGACUCAUAAUUAUUGAUCCCUGGGGACUCAGACUAUUUCAGCAGGAAUAAAAGACAAUGGAUAUGGUGUGGGCAACUGUGUCGUUUUAAUGAAACUCACACUUCCAGCACAGAAUGAAGAAAGCCCAGACUCAAAGACAUUCAGGACAAGCUUCUUUUCACAUGUCCCAGCAUGCCUGUGUACACUGGUUCAUGUUUACUCCUUACUGAGCGGGAGGGUAGGAGUUUGCUGCUGUUAUUAGACAACAUGGGGACCAGCAGAGACUAGCUGAACUUGGAUAUUCUCACUGCUCAUGAAAGCGAGAGUCAGAGACAAUCCAAGA
ensembl:lncRNA